rnacentral:rRNA from 1 species
CCUACGGGCGGCAGCAGUGGGGAAUAUUGCGCAAUGGGCGAAAGCCUGACGCAGCGACGCCGCGUGAGGGAUGAAGGUCUUCGGAUCGUAAACCUCUGUCAGCAGGGAAGAACGGUCACUGUGCUAAUCAGCAGUGAAUUGACGGUACCUGCAAAGGAAGCACCGGCUAACUCCGUGCCAGCAGCCGCGGUGAUACGGAGGGUGCGAGCGUUAAUCGGAAUUACUGGGCGUAAAGCGCUCGUGGGCGUUAUGUCAAGUCAAGGGUGAAAGCCCCGCGCUCAACGUGGGAACUGCCUUUGAAACUGGCAAACUGGAGUGUGUGAGAGGAUAGUGGAAUUCCAGGGGUAGGAGUGAAAUCCGUAGAUAUCUGGAGGAACAUCAGUGGCGAAGGCGACUAUCUGGCACAUAACUGACGCUGAGGAGCGAAAGCGUGGGUAGCAAACAGGAUUAGAUACCCGGGUAGUC